rnacentral:misc_RNA from 1 species
GUAUAGAUUUAAAGGCAGUUAAGCCCAUUAAUGACAUUCUAAAACAUGUGUAGGGGUAUAUAAAAACAUAGACCGGAGGUACAAGGAAAGCUGGCUUUGCGCACAGCAGUCCUCAAACCGAGUUUCCUCGAGAGUUUAUCCAGGUCUACAGAAGGUGCACAGGUGGUAAAAAGUUUGGUGUUAGGCGUGCACAUGCUCCUGAGAGCCAGCAACAACCCAACCAAGCUUAUUCAAUAAUGAUCCUUCCGCAGGUUCACCUACGGAAA